rnacentral:rRNA from 1 species
AUUGAACGCUGGCGGCAGGCUUAACACAUGCAAGUCGAGCGGGGGAAGGUAGCUUGCUACCGGACCUAGCGGCGGACGGGUGAGUAAUGCUUAGGAAUCUGCCUAUUAGUGGGGGACAACAUCUCGAAAGGGAUGCUAAUACCGCAUACGUCCUACGGGAGAAAGCAGGGGAUCUUCGGACCUUGCGCUAAUAGAUGAGCCUAAGUCGGAUUAGCUAGUUGGUGGGGUAAAGGCCUACCAAGGCGACGAUCUGUAGCGGGUCUGAGAGGAUGAUCCGCCACACUGGGACUGAGACACGGCCCAGAAUCCUACGGGAGGCAGCAGUGGGGAAUAUUGGACGAUGGGGGGAACCCUGAUCCAGCCAUGCCGCGUGUGUGAAGAAGGCCUUAUGGUUGUAAAGCACUUUAAGCGAGGAGGAGGCUACUUUAGUUAAUACCUAGAGAUAGUGGACGUUACUCGCAGAAUAAGCACCGGCUAACUCUGUGCCAGCCGCCGCAGUAA